rnacentral:misc_RNA from 1 species
GGUGUAUUAUCAAAGAGAUGGCAAGUGCACAUAUGCAUUUAGGACAGAAGGGUCCAGAACGUUCAAGAACAGUGAUAGGUACGCAAAGUUUGUUAUCCAGCUAUGAAGACAAUGUCCAAGUUGUUUGAAAAUUUUCACUAAAUUGUUAUAUUUCUAGAAAAUAAAUUUCUAUAGAAACUUCACACAUGAAUGGUUUACCUAAAGUUACCUUGAUGCAUUCAAUUCUGAAUUGAAAGAUAAGUUCUUGAUUGCUUAUUUUAAUGGCAAGAAUCACUUGA